UACGAAGGGGGCUAGCGUUGCUCGGAAUCACUGGGCGUAAAGCGCACGUAGGCGGCCAACUAAGUCAUACGUGAAAUCCCUCGGCUUAACCGGGGAACUGCGUCUGAUACUGGAUGGCUUGAGUUCGGGAGAGGGAUGCGGAAUUCCAGGUGUAGCGGUGAAAUGCGUAGAUAUCUGGAGGAACACCGGUGGCGAAGGCGGCAUCCUGGACCGAUACUGACGCUGAGGAGCGAAAGCCAGGGGAGCAAACGGG
rnacentral:rRNA from 1 species